UGGCGAACGGGUGAGUAACGCGUGAGGAACCUGCCUCAAAGAGGGGGACAACAGUUGGAAACGACUGCUAAUACCGCAUAAGCCCACGAUCCGGCAUCGGGAAGAGGGAAAAGGAGCAAUCCGCUUUGAGAUGGCCUCGCGUCCGAUUAGCUAGUUGGUGAGGUAACGGCCCACCAAGGCGACGAUCGGUAGCCGGACUGAGAGGUUGAACGGCCACAUUGGGACUGAGACACGGCCCAG
rnacentral:rRNA from 1 species